rnacentral:lncRNA from 1 species
UUGCUAUUAUAAAGAUGUUUUUUUAAUGCCCUGAAAAUACUUGGGGUGGUGGAAAUGAGUUAUUAAUUAGAGAGAAAAAUUAUUUCAAAUAAAAGAUACUAUAUGUAACACCCCUCGAGUAAAAUAAGAAAAUGUGAAUGUAUCUAUCUUUACCGACUUUACGUUAUUUAAUAGUCCCACCCAACAAAGUAAUAUUGAGGACAUUUCCAAUGAUAUAUUGAGUAUAAGCAAAUGCAUUCUCAUACAUCUAUGAUAAAAAAAAUAAGUUUGGGAUAGAAAAAUUGUAACAUUUGAAGUUAAGUGCUUACACUUCAUAUUUGGACUGUUGGGGCGAUUUAAUUAAUAUUAUUAAAUGAAUAUAAUGAUAUCAACCUUUCAUCAUACUCAAUGAUCUAGAUUCUUGCCCUUAAAGCAAAAUUUAAAAAAGGGCUAUAGUUUGGUGUUCUUGUAUAUUCACUGAAUCAGAAAACAUACCCCAUUAUAUUGAUAUGGACUUUAGAUGCCAUCAUUGUUUUUCUUAAUCCAGGGCUCAAGGCAAAUAAUUCUACUGUAAAAAAAAUAUUGAAUUGUGCAAACUUCAACAUUCCAGAGCAGAAGUUCUCAGCACAAAAGAAACAUGAUAGAUUCAAGUAUCGCAUGCUAGGAUCUGAUCAAAACUGACAUGUGCUACAAACUUCCAGCUUGAAAUUAGAUUUUCCAUGGGAUAUAGGUAAUAUAGGUAUCCUACCAAAUGAGGCCAAGUAAAUGAAAAUUAAAAGAAAGCAUUAUAAGGAAAGUAUUCAUUCACACAUAUUCAAGGUAUUGGAAUGAGAGAGCACCCACACCAGUGCAACAUUACUUGCUUCUUAACUCUCAAGGACUGUGCUUGCCACAGUUGUGCUGAUGUGGGGUAAGGUUCAUUCAUGAAAUUUUGGAAAUAGCAAGUAAAAUGUUAUUUAGAUUGCCUAAAUUAUUGAAAUAUGUAACAAUAUAUAUAAAAUAUGCUAUGAGAUCCAUUUAAACAACAAAUGUAGGUUGCACAAAAAUGUGAGUCCUAUAAUAUUUGUUGUUUCAGAGUAAAACAAACUAUUAUGUUUGCUUGUUACUUAAGAAAAUUAAGAAGGUAUUGAAUUCUUUUUUAAGUUUAUAUUUGCCCCUUAAUGUAUUUUAUUGAAUAAAAAUAAACUCCCCAAAUGAAAACUUGUAUGAUGGUUCACUCAAUACAAUCAGAUCAUGGAUGAAAAAUCAAUUAAAAAACUAGGAUCAAUAAAAUCAACAACAACGACAUUCAUAAUUUACAAUGAAGGAAAACUCCCCGUAGGGAUAAGCAAUACUACAGGAUAAUUGUUCAAACAAUACUACUUUACAAUUGUUCAAAAUCUUCCACUUUUUUCCUUUUACUUUGAAUGUAAAACAAAAGCCAACAAGAACAAAUCAAACAAUGACAUUUCACUAAUAUAACAUGAUGGUUGAUGGAUUUACAGUACAGUAAGAAAACAGGUAUGUAGAAAUAUGACAAUAAAUAAAUUUAAACCAGAGAUACAAACACGAUGGCACAUGGGAUCAACACAUUGCUGUAAAUUCUGAUAAAGGGAUACAAUCAUACAAACAGAGAAGCCACAAAUACUGAAACAUACAUUUAAACAUUUUUAAAUAGCAUUUACAGCAUCAAAUCAAUAAUGAAAAAAAAUCAAUUUUUAUGGCACCCAGUUAAGAAAAAGGAUGUGGGUGGAUACCUGGUUCAGACAAAAACAAUAUUAGUGGAUGUUUUGAGGAUUCAAACGACGCUUAUGAUCUUGAAGAUGAUGAAGCAUAGGAAAGCGAGAAAUAUGAAGAGGAAAAGGUAAUCGACGAAGACGAAGAAUGUGGAAGACCCAUGAUUCCUCUUCAUUUUGGCAGCGGAAUCGUCGAUAUCUUCCAGCUUCGCCAUUCCUGAGAUUUGCAGCAACUAAGUCAUGAGAAUUGUGCAAGAUCCUCGUAUCAAUCGCACGUUGCCAUUUCUAUUGGGCUUACGGCCCAUCAUAUUAUUGGGCCUCUUCUGUUGUAAAUAAAGUACUUAACCCCGGGGCAAUGAAAUUAUUAUUAUAAGAGUAAAUUACAUUAACACCCCCUGAGUUUUAGUGAAAUUAUACAAACCAUUCAAACUUUUUUAAAACCUACACAAACCCCAUAAUUAUAUAUAUACAUUAUAUUGACUACCAUGUAAGAUAGAUAAGUGUAAUUUCUUAAAUAAAAAAUGGUGACAGGUGUAAUUAAGUUAAACAAAAUACGAUAUAUUGUGAAGAAAAUUCCAAAUAGUAUAAGAGUCGAUGUUUAUUCUUUAUUUUGGAUAGUUACAAUAUAAUACGAGAGUAAUUUAAACAUCUCCUUAUACUUAUUGAUGUAGUUUGUAACGAAUAAAAAAUAAUGAAUAUACAUCAAGUUUAUACUAUUUGGACUUGUCUCCACAAUAUAACAUAUUUCUUUGACUUAAUUAUAUCUGUCACUAUUUUUGUUUAAGAAAUUACACUUAUAUCUCUUACAAGGGUAGUCAGUGUAAUAUAUAUGUAUAAAUAAGGAGGGUAUGUGUAGGUUUUAAAAAGGUCUGGGUGGUUUGUGUAAUUUCACUAAACUCAGGGGGUGUCACUGUAAUUCACUCUAUAUUAUAAAUUGUUUUGGUUUUAUCACAAAAAAUAGAUUAUUUAAAAUUAAUUAAAGCAUACUUAAAUAAAUUAAAAUUUCGAUCCGCUCUAAAAAAAUGUACUUUUACUAGUAGAUAUUAAAUAAAAAAUUAUAAUAAAAAGGUAAAAUCAUUACCCAAUAGAAUGAAUUGAAAUUUCUAUUUGAUGUUGCGC